rnacentral:rRNA from 1 species
UACGUAGGGCCCGAGCGUUGUCCGGAAUUAUUGGGCGUAAAGGGCUCGUAGGCGGUCUGUUGCGUCGGGAGUGAAAACUUACAGCUUAACUGUGAGCGUGCUUCCGAUACGGGCAGACUUGAGGCAUUCAGGGGAGAACGGAAUUCCUGGUGUAGCGGUGAAAUGCGUAGAUAUCGUAAGGAAGACCAGUGGCGAAGGCGGGUCUCUGGACAGUUCCUGACGCUGAGGCACGAAGGUCAGGGGAGCAAACGGG